rnacentral:rRNA from 1 species
AGUGAACGCUGGCGGUAGGCCUAACACAUGCAAGUCGAACGGCAGCACAGUAAGUGCUUGCUCUUACGGGUGGCGAGUGGCGGACGGGUGAUUAAUACUCCGGAAUCUACUUUUUCGUUGGGGAUAACGUAGGGAAACUUACGCUAAUACCGCAUACGACCUACUGGUGAAAGCAGGGGAUCUUCUGACCUUGUGCGAUUGAAUGAGCCGAUGUCGGAUUAGCUAGUUGGCGGGGUAAAGGCGCACCUAGGCGACGAUCCGUAGGUGGUCUGAGAGGAAGAUCAGGCACACUGGAACUGAGACACGGUACAGACUCCUACGGGAGGCAGCAGUGGGGAAUAUUGGACAAUGGGGGAAAGCCUGAUCCAGCCAUACCGCGUAGGUGAAGAAGGACUUCGGGUUGUAAAACCAUUUUGUUGGGAAAGAAAAGAAGCAGGUUAAUACCCGGCUGUUCUGACGGUACCCAAAGAAUAAGCCCCGGCUAACUUCGUG